CAGUCGCCGCGGUAAUACAGAGGGUGCGAGCGUUAAUCGGAUUUACUGGGCGUAAAGCGUGCGUAGGCGGCUUUUUAAGUCGGAUGUGAAAUCCCUGAGCUUAACUUAGGAAUUGCAUUCGAUACUGGGAAGCUAGAGUAUGGGAGAGGAUGGUAGAAUUCCAGGUGUAGCGGUGAAAUGCGUAGAGAUCUGGAGGAAUACCGAUGGCGAAGGCAGCCAUCUGGCCUAAUACUGACGCUGAGGUACGAAAGCAUGUGGAGCAAACAGGAUUAGAUACCCGCGUAGUCCCUGUCUCUUAUAC
rnacentral:rRNA from 1 species